ensembl:lncRNA
CCCUCCUGCAAUCAGCAGUGCAGGCGGCAGCGCUGCCGGGGGAUGGAUUAAAGGCUCAGCUGGAGCAGGGAGCCGGCAGCAGGAGGGAAAGCAGGGAGAGCAGGGUUAGGAAAGGCACCGUCACCGUGCUGAGGGCCAACAAAAUGGCCAUGCUGCGGUCUGGUCCCAGCACGGAUUUGCUCUGCAGACGCAUCUUUCAGCCAUGAGGGACACGGAAAGCAUCUUUCAGCCGUGAGGGACACCCAACAGGGACAGCCCCGGGGGAUGGCACCUGUAUCCCAGCCACGGUGAGCGAAAAACCCCAACGGAGGUAUAGGCGGAAACACCACCCAUCACCCUGCAGACCCCCAGGAGGAGACCCCGAUGGCGCUAAGAAUUUUUCUGAACCGACUCGUAUUCAUAAAUACUGCCCUCCAAUCCCUCUCGCAAGACAGAACCAACCCUAAUUAGAAUGGUGAGCCCUCACCAUCUUUUCCUCAUCAUGCAGUUCCCAUAAAACUGCUCCAGAAGAGGAAGGCUUUGGCCAACCCCUCCCCCGGCAAGCAACGGGGAGUGUUCCCAAACGUCUGUCACAAUCAGAAUAAAGAGAAACUCCAUUGGAUUAUAGGGCUCGGGGGCUGAUUUCCAAGAAAAAGCCAAAGAGCUCAGAGUCAAGCAAUUGGCAUGGGGUUCUUGGGCACCUCCAGGGGCUGGGAGCACGGCUGGGUGCUGCUGUACAGUCAAUGGCCUGGGGCCAACCAUGGAUUCCUUUUGUCAAGCAGCC